rnacentral:rRNA from 1 species
AGAGUUUGAUCCUGGCUCAGGACGAACGCUGGCGGCGUGCUUAACACAUGCAAGUCGAACGGGGCAUAGAGAUAUGCCUAGUGGCGGACGGGUGAGUAACACGUGAGCAACCUAUCCUAUACAACGGGAUAACACAGAGAAAUUUGUGCUAAUACGGUAUAAGACCACACUCCGGCAUCGGAGAGGGGUAAAAGCUGAGGCGGUAUAGGAGGGGCUCGCGGCCCAUUAGCUAGUUGGAGAGGUAACGGCUCACCAAGGCGACGAUGGGUAGCCGAUCUGAGAGGAUGAACGGCCACAUUGGAACUGAGAAACGGUCCAAACUCCUACGGGAGGCAGCAGUGGGGAAUAUUGGGCAAUGGAGGCAACUCUGACCCAGCAACGCCGCGUGAAUGAAGAAGGUCUUCGGAUUGUAAAGUUCUUUAGCGAGGGACGAAAAGAAUGACGGUACCUCGAGAAUAAGCCACGACUAACUACGUGCCAGCAGCCGCGGUAAUACGUAGGUGGCGAGCGUUGUCCGGAAUGACUGGGCGUAAAGGGAGCGUAGGCGGCACAACAAGUUAGGAGUGAAAUACCGUGGCUUAACCACGGAACUGCUUUUAAAACUGUUGAGCUAGAGUGAUGGAGAGGAAAGCGGAAUUCCUAGUGUAGCGGUGGAAUGCGUAGAUAUUAGGAGGAACACCAGAGGCGAAGGCGGCUUUCUGGACAUUAACUGACGCUGAGGCUCGAAAGCGUGGGGAGCAAACAGGAUUAGAUACCCUGGUAGUCCACGCCGUAAACG